GGUGGAGGAGGUGGAGGAGGAGGAGGAGGAGGAGGAGGAGGAGGAGGAGGAGGAGGAGGUGCCUCUUUGUUCUCUUUGUUUCACAGGCAGUGAUGGUGGUGGUGGUGGUGGUGGUGCAGAGCCGGACCCUGAAGCCUGCCGAGCUGUCAAAUUGGCAUCCUUCCACCUACCUACCUCCCCCCACUCCUCACCCCCACCCAUCACUCUCCCACCUCCUCAUUUAUCCUCCUUUUAUUCCAGCACCCCCCCCCCCCAUCUCGUCACCCUGCCAACUCCAUCCUUUCCUUCUCCUCCCCCUCCU